AAGUCGUAACAAGGUUUCCGUAGGUGAACCUGCGGAAGGAUCAUUAACACGUAUCCAACGUUAAACCCCCCUGUGAACCUUUAGUGUGCUCCCUCAUUCUGUUGGAACGUGGCAAUCCCUGGUAAAUCAUCGCCGAACAGUUUUGAUUCAGGGACUUCUGCAAAGAGUGCUGGUUGUAGCGCGAGGCAAGUGGCCUGGCAUUCCUCUGCUUGUUAGUGUCUGAAAGUGUCACUGGCUCUGUAAGAAUGGCGCAGUCACGAUCGCUGGAGGCCGACACGGCCGGCGACCGGGUCAGCGAGCUCUGCUCCCACUGUUACGACAAACCUCUGUUCCCCUCUAGUGAAAGCUAUUGGGUUAUAACUAAACGACUGUUAACAAUGGAUAUCUCGAUUCUC
rnacentral:misc_RNA from 1 species